AUUCUUCCUCCAUUACCUCACUGCCUCCGGUGGCUGCUGGGAUACCGGAGGACUCGGGUCCCGGCUCGACUCAGUCCUCCAGCCGCCCGGGGAAUACCUCUAGUUCUUCCCGGCCGCCGCCGCCGCCGCCGCCCCGCCGCUUCCUCCUCCGCCUGCCGGCCUCCUUCGCCCCGUCCCGUCCGCGCAGCGCGUCCGGCCCGCCCGCAGGCCAGCUUCUCUCGGGAGCCCCCACCCAGGCGCAUGGCUCCAUGAAGCAAGAGGAGGAGGCAGAGCGCGAGAGGUCCCGUCCGCCCCAGCCGCGUCUGGGCCAGGAUAAAAGCAAAACCAUAUUCCUGCUGCUGUCAGUUAUGAUGCACUGAGAAAACUUCAGAGACCUAAACUUUUUCCAGAGAAGAGAAGCUUUACUGGUGUUCCAGCCCUAAGAAACCUUUGUUCAAGAAAACGGCAGAUGCUCUGUUGAAUCCACUGGAGAUUGUUCUGAUACUAAGGACAAGUAUCAACCAUCUUUCCUGUGAAAAAUUCCCUCUCGUACUUUAGUUCUGUGGAUCCAAAAUUUAUAGCAUUCUUCUACCACCACAGGGGCUCAUAUGACAUUAACAGACAAGACACUUUUCAGAAAGACAGGCAACGUGUUGGACCUUCCGGAGCUUCUCAGAAGACAGAGGGUUUUCUUUUGAGGAUUUAAACCUCAGACACAGGGAGCUGACCUAUUCACCUUAGAAUCCUCUGGGGCACCCAUUACAGUGUCUGUACCAAGGAGGCAACAAAGAACGGCGGAACAGACUGGAGCAGAAGGACCACCCAGCAGAGCCAAGCCAAAUCACUGACCCUCAGAGGCCUGAUGUGAAUGCUUAUGGCUUCAGUCCAUUGGAUUCUGCAGUAAUCUGCCGAUCUACAGUAUUACCACAGUAAAUAACCGAUAGACCUGAAAACGAAUGCAUGCCUUGUGCCAAAAUUGCAGGAAACCUCACCAGGAGAAACAAUUUUAUAUGAGGGAAUGUACUCUCUCCUUUGCAUUUUCCCUCAAAUCUAUAUUUUUAGCCCCUCACUUGUCUCUACAGAGCCUCAGUUGCUUAAUCUAAUUGCUGACUGAACAUCUCCAGGAAACUGUGUGUACGUGUUUGUAUUCAUAGUAUAUUUAUUUAUUAUCUGUUUACUUCCAUGGGAUAUAGUCUCCAUAAGAGAGUAGUCAUCAUUGUAUUUGUUGAUGCUUAAUAAAUAAUCAUUGAAUGGGC
rnacentral:lncRNA from 1 species